AGAAGAAGAAGACAUGCUGGUAUUGUUUCGGCUCAUAUCCUCGUCGAGCACAUCGUCGGAUGAGAUGUGAGCCGAACCAAUAUCACUCAUGUAUUCUUCCUU
rfam:Triticum aestivum genome assembly, contig: Triticum_aestivum_CS42_TGACv1_scaffold_130258_2BL